CAAAAACCUGUGGUGUAACUUAUGAUAAAAGCACAUUUUUGACUUAGGUGACUCUGCUAUUGGUGAAGGCGUAAAACGGCAUGUGCUGUCCACUGUGAUGGGAGCCGUCCAGAGUGGUUUCCUUCUGGAUGAAAAAAAAGGGAGAGUGCUUCUCUUCGAGGGAGAGAGUGACCACCUUAUUCCCUCAACAAGUCAGGAGCUCCUGGAGGGUGAUUUAUUUGUGACUGCAGGAAGGAUGGUUGGUCAUUCAUUCUUGAAUGGGGGCCCAUGUCACACUGGCCUAAGCACAGCAAUCAUCCAUGUAAUUUUGGCGACAGUCCAGAGAUGGCAACCAUAUCCCUGUCAGACUGUGUGGAUCAGGAUGUCCGGGAUGUCUUGGCACUGUUGAAAGGAACCAAGGACCUGUCAGAAGAAGACAAAUCCCAGAUUUUCUCUGUGACACUGCCCUGGGACCUGCAUGGUGUCACACUGAACAACAAGUGGUGAAUGAGGGAGAAAAUACUGCUCCAUGCUGUUCUUGGACGGACGACCCAGCAGGUUAAACAAAUCCGACAAGGCCUGAAAGACACGGGUGUCUGGGAGUUUUUUUAGCUCCAGGCCAGAUGCUGUGCAAGUCCUAUUCCCAAGGGCCUGCAAUGCAGAGAUCACGCC